UAAACGGGCCAGCACCCCUGGUCUCCUGGCUCUUAGGUCCCCCAUCGCUGGGGGGAAGGCGCCCCCUGCGAGACUGGGAUUAAGAGCCACUCCCCCUGCCCCCCUGGCUCUUAGGACACCCCUCCCACGGGGGCGCGGUGCCCCCCGCGAGCCCGGCAGUAAACCAGCCAGCCCCCCUGGACCCUAGCCCUUAGGACCCCCCUCACAGGCGAGGCCGGCAGUAAACGGGCCCGCCACCCUGGCCCCCUGGCUCUUAGGAUCCGCCUCGCAGGGGAGGCCGGCAGUAAACGCGCCAGCCCCCCUGGCCCCGUGGCUCAUAGGACCCCACCUCGCAUGCGAGUCCGACAGUAAACGGGCCAGCCCCCUUGGCCCACUGGCCCUUAGGACCCCCCUCGCAGGCGAGGCCGGCAGUAAACGAGCCAGCCCCCCUGGCCCCCUGGCUCUUAGGACCCCCCUCGCAGGAGUGCGAGGCGCCCCCCGCGAGGCCGGCAGUAAGCGAGCCAGUACCCCUGGCCACCUGGCUCUUAGGACCCCCCCCCCCAAGGUGGGCGAGGCGCCUCCCGCGAGGCCCGCAGUAAACGAGCCAGCCCCCCUGCUCCCCUGUUCUUAGGACCCCCCCUCGCAUUGGGGCGAGGUGCCCCCCGCGAGGCCGGGAGUAAAAGAGCCAGACCCCCUGCACCCCUGGCUCUUAGGGCGCCCCCCGCGAGGCCGGGAGUAAAAGAGCCAGCCCUCCUGCCCCCCUGGCUUUUAGGACCCCCAUCACAGGUGGGCCAGCCGCCACCCGCGAGGCUGGGAGUAAGAGCCAGCCCCCCUGCCACCCUGGCUCUUAGGACACCCAUCGCAGGGGGGCGAGGCGCCCCCGGCGAGGCCGGGAGUAAGAGCCAUCUCCCCUGCCCCCCUGGCUCUUAGGACCCCCAUCGCUGGGGGGCCAGGCGCCCCCCGCGAGGCCGGGAGUAAGAGCCAGCCCCUCUGCCCCCCUGGUUUUUAGGAUCCGCGGUGGACCCACUGCCUGUUUACCAUAUUGCAGCCGGGUGAGUCACCCCCAGCGAUAUGGUAGGAAAUUGCCCCGGUGGAAUGCCUUGCCAGCGCAUUGCAUAGCAGGUCCCUGCAGAGGAUUAACACAGUGGCUGAACACCAGGAAGGAACUGGCACUUGGAGUCCGGACAUCUGAAACUUGGCCCCAUCACCAGAGUGGCAGAGCAGCAGAGCAGUGGAGUAGCACAGUGGCAGAGAAAGAAAGAAGAAGCCGGAUGUCAGAGAGAAGCAGUUUGAGCUCAGAGGGACAGCUUGAUGGUGGGACCUCAGAGAAGAGUUUGGCUGAACUCCAGGGGAAGACCACCUUCCCAUUCCAUCCACUUUCCAGCUCCCCAUCCUGCUGAGAGCUACUUCCAUCCCUCAAUAAAAUCCUCCACAUUCACUACCCUUC